UCAGCUGCCAUUUUUAUUUCCCACAGUGCCCCUGGUGUAGCAUCGCUCCUUGUGGGAAAGAGGGGCACUGUGGGAAAUUAAAAUGGCAGCUA